rnacentral:rRNA from 1 species
AGUACUUGUAGGUCGGACGGGUAGGAGUAACGGACGUGGAUAACCUGCCCCAUACCGGGGAGUAACAAGCCGGAACGGACUGCUAAUACCGCAUAAGCGCACGGGAAUGCAUGUUUCUGUGUGAAAACUACCGGUGGUAUGGGAUGGAUCCGCGUCUGAUUAGCUGGUUGGCGGGGUAGAGGCCCACCAAGGCGACGAUCAGUAGCCGACCUGAGAGGGUGCCGGCCACAUUGGGACUGAGACACGGCCCAGACUCCUACGGGAGGCAGCAGUGGGGAAUAUUGCACAAUGGGGGAAACCCUGAUGCAGCGACGCCGCGUGAGUGAAGAAGUAUUUCGGUAUGUAAAGCUCUAUCAGCAGGGAAGAGAAUGACGGUACCUGAGUAAGAAGCCCCGGCUAACUACGUG